AUCUAGCUUGCUAGAUUGAUGGCGAGUGGCGAACGGGUGAGUAAUACAUCGGAACGUGCCCUGUAGUGGGGGAUAACUAGUCGAAAGAUUAGCUAAUACCGCAUACGACCUGAGGGUGAAAGUGGGGGACCGCAAGGCCUCAUGCUAUAGGAGCGGCCGAUGUCUGAUUAGCUAGUUGGUGAGGUAAAGGCUCACCAAGGCGACGAUCAGUAGCUGGUCUGAGAGGACGAUCAGCCACACUGGGACUGAGACACGGCCCAGACUCCUACGGGAGGCAGCAGUGGGGAAUUUUGGACAAUGGGCGAAAGCCUGAUCCAGCAAUGCCGCGUGUGUGAAGAAGGCCUUCGGGUUGUAAAGCACUUUUGUCCGGAAAGAAAUGGCUCUGGUUAAUACCUGGGGUCGAUGACGGUACCGGAAGAAUAAGGACCGGCUAACUACGUGCCAGCAGCCGCGGUAAUACGUAGGGUCCAAGCGUUAAUCGGAAUUACUGGGCGUAAAGCGUGCGCAGGCGGUUGUGCAAGACCGAUGUGAAAUCCCCGAGCUUAACUUGGGAAUUGCAUUGGUGACUGCACGGCUAGAGUGUGUCAGAGGGGGGUAGAAUUCCACGUGUAGCAGUGAAAUGCGUAGAGAUGUGGAGGAAUACCGAUGGCGAAGGCAGCCCCCUGGGAUAACACUGACGCUCAUGCACG
rnacentral:rRNA from 1 species